rnacentral:lncRNA from 1 species
UACAAAGUCAUUAAAAUAUCCACUCGUCAUACUUGACACGCACUCCUGACAUGGAAUGUGGUACUACAUCUUUUUUUUUUCUCUGGAAUGCUUUGGUACGGCAUCAUCAGUUAAUAGAAUGUCCAGUAAGUCAAGUCUCACAUUAUACAGAGAUUAACGGUACUAUUAUCAAGCGACUAAGCAUGGCUUUUACCUGCUUGGAAGUCAAGCACUUGCUGUCAACUCCAGGUCAUAUUGUCCGAGGCCAAUUUUAACUUUUCCUCAGGAAUUCUAGCACCACUAUGAGAACAUCCGACUUGUCCAGUUCAUAACGUUUUCCUUCAGCGGUCUAGUGCACGCGUAUGACGUAGCAUCCCUGACGUCAGUUCACUUUUCUUUUCAAUCCCUCUCCUUUUUUUUUUCUUUUGUGCAGAAGACUUCGUUCAAUUCAACAUAUUAUUGCAC